rnacentral:lncRNA from 1 species
AAAAGCAACCAGUCCAUAGUGCGCUAGAUCUAUUAAUUGUGCUGUGUCUUUAAGCGCGGCGUGUAUAUAGGGGCGUGUCUAAUAUAAAAUGGGCGUGUCUGUUGACAUAAGGGGCGGGUUUGGGUGAAUUAUUGCACAGAGCGGUGAAUUUACAGCAGAGCUUGACACAGGAAGGAUGCGGGCGGCUGUCUGUGUGUAUUGUCACAACUGAAAGAUACAUGUGUUACCUUUAGAGAAUCAACAGAAAACAGCACGGGGAUAUUUUAGGCUCAAACAAACUAACAGAAAGGCUUUUUUAAUUGCACCCCGGGGAUAGGCUAAAACCACAAGCUGGAAAGUGCAUGGAUCACACCAUUAAACGCCCAGUAGCCUUUUGUGAGCAAAUGCAGAUGACACCUCAUGGAAGGAGGCGUAACGUGUGAAGGGAGGAAGAGAAGUUAUCGAGGGACCAUUGUGUGAAGAUUAUCUUAUCUCAGAUUACCUCCUGUUUGGCAACUGAAGUGACGGCCAUCAAGACUGGACUGAGUCGGGUUGAACAGAAUCUGGUUGAACCUUUUAGGACUCGUUAAAAGGAAACCCCCUUUUAGUGAAACCACACGACCAGAUAAAAAAAGAAUUGUAGAACUGGGUU